rnacentral:rRNA from 1 species
UCGGUGGUUAAGUUUUAAAGGGCACACGGUGGAUGCCUUGGCACUGGGAGCCGAUGAAGGACGGAACGAACUCCGAUAAGCUCCGGGGAGCUGUAAGUGGGCUUUGAUCCGGAGAUUUCCGAAUGGGGAAACCCCCUGUCCUGACGGACAGGAUGACGCACUGAAUUCAUAGGGGCGUCAAGGCAGACCCGGGGAACUGAAACAUCUCAGUACCCGGAGGAAGAGAAAGCAAAUGCGAUUUCCCGAGUAGUGGCGAGCGAAAAGGAAACAGCCCAAACCAGGGGGCUUGCCCCCUGGGGUUGUAGGACACUCCGCAUGGAGUCAGAAAAGCGCGUUUCAGGCGAACGGCCUGGAAGGGCCGGCCGAAGAAGGCAAACGCCCUGUAGCCGAAGAGGCGCGCUCUCCGGAGUGGAUCCUGAGUACGGCGGGACACGAGAAACCCCGUCGGAAGCCGGGAGGACCGUCUCCCAAGGCUAAAUACUCCCCAGUGACCGAUAGUGAACCAGUACCGUGAGGGAAAGGUGAAAAGCACCCCGGAAGGGGAGUGAAAGAGAUCCUGAAACCGUGUGCCUGCAAGUAGUUGGAGCCCCUUCGGGGGUGACAGCGUACCUUUUGUAGAAUGGACCGGCGAGUGGCGAUUCUGAGCAAGGUUAAGCCGGAGAGGCGGAGCCGCAGCGAAAGCGAGUCUGAAGAGGGCGAAUGAGUUCAGGGUUGCCGACCCGAAACCGUGUGAUCUACCCAUGUCCAGGGUGAAGUCCAGGUAACACUGGAUGGAGGCCCGAACCCACGCAUGUUGAAAAAUGCGGGGAUGAGGUGUGGGUAGGGGUGAAAUGCCAAUCGAACACGGAGAUAGCUGGUUCUCCCCGAAAUAGCUUUAGGGCUAGCCUCGGAGAAAGAGGUCUGGAGGUAGAGCACUGAUUGAAUAAGGGGUCCCCACAGGAUUACCGAGUUCAGUCAAACUCCGAAUGCCAGACGCUCAGGCUCCGGGAGUCAGACGGCGAGUGAUAAGAUCCGUCGUCGAAAGGGAAACAGCCCGGACCGCCGGCUAAGGUCCCUAAGUUUGCGCUGAGUGGGAAAGGAUGUGGCGUUGCCCAGACAACCAGGAUGUUGGCUCAGAAGCAGCCACCAUUUAAAGAGUGCGUAAUAGCUCACUGGUCGAGUGGCGCCGCGCCGAAAAUGUAACGGGGCUAAGCGCAGCACCGAAGCCGCGGAUGACUCUUUCAGAGUCAUGGUAGGGGAGCGUUCCAGAGGCCGGGAAGGUCUGCCGGAAGGCAGGCUGGAGCGUCUGGAAGUGAGAAUGCCGGUAUGAGUAACGAAAAGAGGAGUGAGAAUCUCCUCCGUCGAAAGCCCGAGGGUUCCUGGGGAAGGUUCGUCCGCCCAGGGUCAGUCGGGGCCUAAGCCGAGGCCGAAAGGCGUAGGCGAUGGACAACAGGUGGAUAUUCCUGUACCGCUGGAACACGUUUGAGUGAAGGGGGGACGCAGGAAGGCGAGGUCAGCGCACGGAUGGAAGCGUGCGUUCAAGCCGCGAGGCCGGCAGCGAGGCAAAUCCCGCUGCCUGAGGCCGGACGGUGAUGAGGAGGGAAAUUUAAGUACCGAAGGGCCACAACCUACACUGCCUAGAAAAGCCUCUGGCGAGUGAACCAGCGCCCGUACCCAAACCGACACAGGUGGGCAAGAAGAGAAUUCUGAGACGCUCGGGAGAACUCUCGUUAAGGAACUCGGCAAAAUCACCCCGUAACUUCGGGAGAAGGGGUGCUCAAAGGGCCUUCGGGCCCUCUGAGCCGCAGUGAAAAGAUCCAAGCGACUGUUUACCAAAAACACAGGUUUCUGCUAAACCGAAAGGUGAUGUAUAGGGGCUGACACCUGCCCGGUGCUGGAAGGUUAAGAGGAGAGGUCAUCCCUUCGGGGAGAAGCUUUGAACCGAAGCCCCAGUAAACGGCGGCCGUAACUAUAACGGUCCUAAGGUAGCGAAAUUCCUUGUCGGGUAAGUUCCGACCCGCACGAAAGGUGUAACGAUUUGGAUACUGUCUCAACGAGAGACCCGGUGAAAUUAUAGUACCUGUGAAGAUGCAGGUUACCCGCGACAGGACGGAAAGACCCCAUGGAGCUUUACUGCAGCCUGAUAUUGGAUGUGGGUAUCGAUUGUACAGGAUAGGCAGGAGCCUUUGACGCCGGACCGCCAGGUUCGGCUGAGGCGCCGGUGGGAUACUGCCCUUUCGAUACCGACAUUCUAACCCGGGACCGUGAUCCGGUCCGGAGACAGUGUCAGGCAGGCAGUUUGACUGGGGCGGUCGCCUCCCAAAAGGUAACGGAGGCGCCCAAAGGUUCCCUCAGAAUGGUUGGAAAUCAUUCGCAGAGUGUAAAGGCACAAGGGAGCUUGACUGCGAGACCCACAAGUCGAGCAGGGACGAAAGUCGGGCUUAGUGAUCCGGUGGCACCGCAUGGAAGGGCCAUCGCUCAACGGAUAAAAGCUACCCUGGGGAUAACAGGCUUAUCUCCCCCAAGAGUUCACAUCGACGGGGAGGUUUGGCACCUCGAUGUCGGCUCAUCGCAUCCUGGGGCUGAAGUAGGUCCCAAGGGUUGGGCUGUUCGCCCAUUAAAGCGGUACGCGAGCUGGGUUCAGAACGUCGUGAGACAGUUCGGUCCCUAUCCGUCGCGGGCGCAGGAAAUUUGAGGAGAGCUGUCCUUAGUACGAGAGGACCGGGAUGGACACACCGCUGGUGUACCAGUUGUUCCGCCAGGAGCAGACGCUGGGUAGCUAUGUGUGGACGGGAUAAGUGCUGAAAGCAUCUAAGCAUGAAGCCCCCUCCAAGAUGAGAUUUCCCACAGCUUUAAGCUGGUAAGGCCCCUCAGAGAUGAUGAGGUGGAUAGGUCUGGAGUGGAAGCGCGGUGACGCGUGAAGCGGACAGAUACUAAUCGGCCGAGGGCUUAACCCAAA